GUUAAAUCAGUUUCUAAAAAUUCACCCAUAGCAUUCCCAAUUGUUUUAGUGUUGUCUGUAAUGAGCUGAUUAGGCGAUAACCUAUAUGCUUAAACCCAAAAGGGUGAAUAAGUGAAUUGGAUUUCUUCAAACCCCUAAUCUAGAGGCCACUCCUGUAUAGCAAGGUGUUGAUUCUGAAUAUUCCAUGGCCAAUUCUCCAGUACAAAUUUGACAUGUACUUCAUGUUGAAAAGUUAAGAGAAAAGUACUAAGUUUUUUGGGUGUAAUCUAGAACUGAUGUCUGGUUCUCAAAGCAGCUUCAAGAGCAACUUUCAUAGCAAAUAAGCUAAGCCUUUUGGAUGAUAUCUCCUUCCCCACUAACACAAGUUAUUGUUGCUUGGUUGUUUGAGUAUUGUCUGAUGAUAGUUUUAAAAUUAUCCUCUGAAAGGAGAUUUUGGGCCUUUGAAAUUAAUUCCAUAAUGUGGUUAUCACUCGUGGCACAGAUGAUGAAGUUAAAAGCAGAGGAGAUGGUCAGUUGUUGGGUUGUAAUAAGUAACAGGUAGAGGAAUAAAUACAAGAAAGAAUAAGACAGUAAUGGUGAAGUGACUAUAGGAACGUUUUCAGAGGCGUUUUUGCUGGUUAGUAGGAGUAAUGGUGAAGUUGGUAUACUGGAUGAUGUAUUGAGGAUUGUCAUAAGGCAUAAGAUUAGCGAAAGUCUAGGAAUGAAACUAAGAUCAAAUGGAUAAGCUGUGUUGAGCUAAUUAGUGAAUUCUGUUUGAGGAACCUUAUUCCAAAGAGUAGGGAUGAACCCUUAGAUUUUGUUAACUGACUGAUGGCAUACUGACAAUGACAAGGCAUUUCUCUCUCUUUUAAUUCUUCUUCUACUUUCUAUGUUUAGGGUGGUUUUCAUUUACUAUUGAGUGGCUUUCCCUGUUCCUAUUGGGCAAGGGAAGCUCCUCUCUCUGCCUAUAAUUAGAAUUUUACUCUCCCCACUCUAUGUGGAUGUAAAUAUUCCCUUUUGUAUUUUGUUCGACAACUUGGGCUUCAACGAGAGAGUAUUUAUUUAGUUGGUCUGCCGUUUCUACCUAGUUUUUAGUGUUUCUGUGUUAUGGGCUCCUCACAUGCAAGUGCCAAUAUUCUCUUGGGCUGAGAUCACAGGUGGUGUUGUAGUGGAUGAAAUUUGAGUCCUACUCUAUUCUUGCAACCAACUGCUUCCUAUUGCUCUAUAAAGGAUUACCGUUUUAGCUGAUGGUAUCUCUUGGGGUUAAGGUAUUUUUUACUAUAAGAGCCCUGCCAUUAGCCCUCGACUAAGCAUUAGUUCUAGUCUGUGAAGGUUUUCAGCUCCAAUGGUCUGUGUUUUACACUAGUCUAUUAUGGUUACUUAAUUUUUCAGUUCGAUGAACAUUAACUCAAUUUAAAGAGCCUUCAAGCCCUAAGAGGUGGUCUUUGCUAGCAUUAUCUCCAUCUGGAAUGAGUCCUUUACCAAGUUCUGAUGUGUGGCAUUGCUACUUUCUUCAUUAACAGGGUCCUUAGUCUUCUAAUCGGGUCAUUAGACCUAAGAGUUUUG
rnacentral:misc_RNA from 1 species